rfam:Sphaeroforma arctica JP610 cont1.10258, whole genome shotgun sequence.
ACGGGUAUAACACAAUUGGUUAGUGUGUAAGUCUUCCAAACUUGAAAUACUGGUUCGAGUCCAGUUAUCCGUA